UAUUCUAAGGCGCUUGAGAGAACUCAGGAGAAGGAACUCGGCAAAUUGACACCGUAACUUCGGAAGAAGGUGUGCCUUUAGUAGGUGAACCUGUACAAGGGGAGCCCAAUGAGGUUGCAAAAAAUCGGUGGCUGCGACUGUUUAUUAAAAACACAGCACUCUGCAAACACGAAAGUGGACGUAUAGGGUGUGACGCCUGCCCGGUGCUGGAAGAUUAAAUGAUGGGGUGCAAGCUCUUGAUUGAAGUCCCAGUAAACGGCGGCCGUAACUAUAACGGUCCUGAGGUAGCGAAAUUCCUUGUCGGGUAAGUUCCGACCUGCACGAAUGGCGUAACGAUGGCCACACUGUCUCCUCCUGAGACUCAGCGAAGUUGAAAUGUUUGUGAUGAUGCAAUCUCCCCGCGGAAAGACGGAAAGACCCCAUGAACCUUUACUGUAGCUUUGUAUUGGACUUUGAACAGAUCUGUGUAGGAUAGGUGGGAGGCUUUGAAGCAGGGUCGCUAGAUCUUGUGGAGCCAACGUUGAAAUACCACCCUGGUGUGUUUGAGGUUCUAACCUAGGUCCAUUAUCUGGAUCGGGGACAGUGCAUGGUAGGCAGUUUGACUGGGGCGGUCUCCUCCCAAAGCGUAACGGAGGAGUUCGAAGGUACGCUAGUUACGGUCGGACAUCGUGACGAUAGUGCAAUGGCAUAAGCGUGCUUAACUGCGAGACUGACAAGUCGAGCAGAUGCGAAAGCAGGUCAUAGUGAUCCGGUGGUUCUGUAUGGAAGGGCCAUCGCUCAACGGAUAAAAGGUACUCUGGGGAUAACAGGCUGAUACCGCCCAAGAGUUCAUAUCGACGGCGGUGUUUGGCACCUCGAUGUCGGCUCAUCUCAUCCUGGGGCUGUAGCCGGUCCCAAGGGUAUGGCUGUUCGCCAUUUAAAGAGGUACGUGAGCUGGGUUUAAAACGUCGUGAGACAGUUUGGUCCCUAUCUUCCGUGGGCGCUGCAGAUUUGAGGAAGCCUGCUCCUAGUACGAGAGGACCGGAGUGGACAUACCUCUGGUGUAUCGGUUGUCACGCCAGUGGCAUUGCCGAGUAGCUAAGUAUGGAAGAGAUAAACGCUGAAAGCAUCUAAGCGUAAAACUCGUUUCAAGAUGAGAUCUGCCGGGGCCUUGAGCCCCCUAAAGAGUCGUUCAAGACCAGGACGUUGAUAGGUCAGGUGUGGAAGCGCAGUAAUGCGUUAAGCUAACUGAUACUAAUUGCUCGUGCGGCUUGACCCU
rnacentral:rRNA from 1 species